CACCUCCCAGGUUCACACCUGGAGAGUUUUCAGUACUCUACCAGUCUAAACUAUGGGAGGGAGAAUCACGCUGAAUAUACCCAUUCCAUUCCUAGCUUAGCCAGUGGUUAGCAAGUGGAAGGCAAUCUGCUACAGAU